UGAAAGUGUCGUCAAUGUCCAAACAGCCAGGAGAUUUAUACCCUGUGCUGAAUAGAUAUUCGACCACCUGACCUGUAUGAGCAGGUAAGACAUUCGCCUAGAUUGCGAAUACGGGCAGCGAUGUCACGAGUGCACAGCACGAAGACAUUGACUUUUA
rnacentral:sRNA from 1 species